UUAUAUUAAACAUGUUAUUUAUGUAUGUGUGUGUGUUUAUAUUCCUCUGUUUAUUAAACCAGAGGGGUGGUGAUGUGGAGAGGCAGACCAGACCACCACCAUACGCGAAGAUGAGCCUCGAGGCUUGACAGUUAUUUUUUCAAACUGAGGAGUUCGGACUCCGGACCGUCAUUUCUGCUUGUUUGUACCCUGAGAUAACCAUGGUUAAUAAAUGGUCAGACACGUCAUUGUCUUAAAAUAUAAACCCCAUUGAUGCAAAAAGGUAAGGUGCUUAAAAGGACCUUGUAAGACUUCGUCACUAAUGUUCAUUAAAGAGAAAAUAAAAAGAAAUCUGUGUUUUGUAGCUUUAAUGAUAAUUCUUACUGUAUGUAUUUCAUUUAGAAUUUAGCAUUAAAGACUGUAAAGUGUUUGAGGAUUUAAUUUAAAUUCUGUAUAUUUCACACUAUUUUUUUAUUGAACAUUGUGUUUUGAAAAAUACAUCACUAGUCAAUUGCAACCUCAAGUUAAUGUAGACUUUAAGGAACUUGUUUGUCUGAAAGUGGAUAUAUAAAGAUUUUUUGUUUUAAGAUGCUGCAUGGAAUGACAAUGUGGUUUGGAACAGACUUGGUAAAGAACAUGGAAACAUCUCUUAAUAAAAUGGCCCCAAACAUCAUCAGGAGUGCAAAAGAAGGAAGUAAAAACAUCUCUACGCCAAUCUCAUUGGAGAGGAAACCACAGAAGGUCUGGUGAGGAAUGCUGCACUUAUGUUAUUGCAAGCAUUAUUUCAAGAAAAUCCCAGCUUCCUUUACUGUGUAAAUAGUGAACCCAAAGGUCCCACACCAACCAUAGUGUUCAACGGCUCUCCUGAUCUUUUCAAAUCUGAAUGUAUCAACUUUAUAAUGGACAAUGUGAACUUAAUAUGUGGAAGACAUUGACAUCACAGGCUGUGGAAUGACUGUGUCACAGGUCGGAGAAGCGGACCGCCCCUGUCGCGGAUCACGCUCCUCCUAGUUCCACCUCGAGGAGGUCCCAAAGCACCCCAAUGACCAGACAAACCAGAGGGGGAGUAUUACGGGGCCAGGGACGUUGGAGGGGUUUCCACGUGACUCCAGCUGGAACACCGCUACAGAGCGUAUCUGGGUGGGUUGGGCACACACCGUCGCGGCGGCCCCUGAUGGCAUCCACAAGGGUCCAAGACCCUCCUAAGCUCCUAGCCAUAGCAGAACUACGUAUUUCAGCACCCGAAGGACUAACAACCCAGCCGGCAUCUGCAGCGUAUAUCCAACGCGAUCAAACUUCACUCUGACAAGUAACUUCCUAUACACAACCACGCCGUCCUUUCGCCCGGACCAGCCCCGCACUCUUUCCGCCCGCUACCUAGCGGUCGCCGGAUCAGCAGAGCCUGCGGACUCUUCGGAGGCUGGUCUUCUUUGUGCUGCCCAAGGCGGAAGUUGACUCGCCCGAAAAUCGACCCUUCCAGUAACUUCUACCUUCUCUCUUUAUAUCCUCCUCCCAGGCGUGGCUCGCCCAACCAUCGCUCGCCACGUCACUCACACAGCUGUGCCUUGUUUCAGCGAGUGCGGGGAUUCCCGGGGAACCCUGAAGUGCCGGUGUCUGUACAAACCGGUCCGGGCGGAACCUCUUCACUCUCCUUUUGGUUCCGCCCCGCAUAGUCACUCCGUGACAACUGUUUGCGUUUUUUUUCUCCUCAAUGUUCAAUACCCUUUUGCCAUUAAGCACACAGUGACUUUAAUUUAUAAAAUAUAUGCUUAAGUUUUAAUACCUGUACAAAACAAAUGUACAAUCAACUUGUGUAAAUUGUCAUUCUAUUUAAUAGAUUGUUCAUGAAUUGUCUUUAAAUGCAUUGUGAUUUCGGUAACACUUUACAAUAAAGUUCAUUAGUUAACAUUAGUUAAUGUAUUAACUAACUUGAACAAACCAUAAGCAAUACAUUUGUUACAGUAUUUAUUCAUCUUUGUUAAUGUUAGUUAAUAAAAAUUUAAGCUUUAAUUGCUUGUUCAUGUUAGUUCAGAGUGCAUUAACUAAUGUUAACAAGAUUUUAAUAAAGUAAUUGUUGAAAUUAACAUUAACAAAGAUUAAUAAAGGCUGUAUAAGUGUAGUUCAUUAUUAGUUUAUGUUAACUAAUGUAGCUAACUAAUGUUAACUAAUGAACCUUAUUGUAAAGUGUUACCGUGAUUUCUUUUCAUCAUUUCAGACACAUGUAAAAGUUACUAAAAAUUAAUACUGCAUAUACUGUACAGUAAGGGAAAUAACUUAAACAAAAUUUUUAAUGUAUAGUGUAAUUAAGAGUUUAGCUGUUUAAUACAGAGAUGCAAUUUAUUUAUAUAUAUUAUUUAUAUAUAAACGUAUGUAUGUUUAUUAAAAAGUGAAAAUGCUUAAUGGAAAUAAUUAAAUAACUAAAUGGUUGAAUGUAAUGAGACAUUUUAAAUGUAAACUAAAGUUUUGCUGUCUAAUACAGAAUAAAGAGAUGUGAUUUUAAGUAA